rnacentral:rRNA from 1 species
UGAGCAACCUGCCCUUAGCUUUGGGAUAACCCUCGGAAACGGGGGCUAAUACCGAAUGUUCACUGCCGGGCGCAUGUUUGGUGGUGGAAAGUUUUUCGGCUGGGGAUGGGCUCGCGGCCUAUCAGCUUGUUGGUGGGGUGAUGGCCUACCAAGGCGAUGACGGGUAGCCGGCCUGAGAGGGCGACCGGCCACACUGGGACUGAGACACGGCCCAGACUCCGUACGGGAGCA